CCUACGGGAGGCAGCAGUGGGGAAUAUUGGACAAUGGGGGGAACCCUGAUCCAGCCAUGCCGCGUGUGUGAAGAAGGCCCUCGGGUUGUAAAGCACUUUCAGUGAGGAAGAACGCCUGGUGGUUAAUACCCAUCAGGAAAGACAUCACUCACAGAAGAAGCACCGGCUAACUCCGUGCCAGCAGCCGCGGUAAUACGGAGGGUGCGAGCGUUAAUCGGAAUUACUGGGCGUAAAGCGCGCGUAGGUGGCUUGAUAAGCCGGUUGUGAAAGCCCCGGGCUCAACCUGGGAACGGCAUCCGGAACUGUCAAGCUAGAGUGCAGGAGAGGAAGGUAGAAUUCCAGGUGUAGCGGUGAAAUGCGUAGAGAUCGGGAGGAAUACCAGUGGCGAAGGCGGCCUUCUGGACUGACACUGACACUGAGGUGCGAAAGCGUGGGUAGCAAACAGGAUUAGAUACCCCUGUAGUC
rnacentral:rRNA from 1 species